rnacentral:sRNA from 1 species
GUCACUAGCAAGGGGGAGGGCAGGAGUUAAACAAGUUGUGGCCGUGGCAUUCCCACAGAAGGCCCACCACCCGCUGGAAGGAAAGAGAUAGCAGACAAAAGGGUCUCGCUCUGUUGCCCAGUGGCCUGAUCAUGGCUCACUGCAGCCUCCAACUACUGGCCUCAAGUGAUCCUCUUGCCUUGGCCUCCUGAAGUCCUGGAAUUAUAGGCGUGAGCCACUGCACCGGGCCCAUUUAAUACUCUGAGCCCCACCUUUCCCAUCUGUGGAUGGAGCCCCAUGUGGAACCCAAGGACGCAGCUGCUCUGCUAACACGGCAGCCCAUCCUUCGAGACUGUGACCUCGCCACAGUGGCCCUCAGCCCUCCACCUCCGGCGGGGGCGAGGGCCACCCACCUCCAAGUCUCCAGCCAUGACGACCUCCGCACUCCGGCGCCAGGUGAAGAACAUCGUGCACAACUACUCCGAGGCAGAAAUCAAGUGGCCUUCACCGAGGUCAUGGGCAUGCUGUGGCGGCGGCUCAAUGACAGCGGCAAGAACUGGCGGCACGUGUACAAGGCUCUAACAUUGCUGGACU